UAAAUUGCUUGCGCCCUCCUCCACGCGUUCACCCCAUCCUCCCUAGGAAGCUAGAACCACUCACCCCGUGAUACUCGCACUAGAGGCGGGUCACCCUCUCCGACGUUGCGUGCCCACAACGACACUCGGGUCACGGUGGGGGUUGCAGAAUCUUUGUCAGGCCGCGUGGAUCGCGCCAGGGUCCUCGCCGGGCCGAGCUUGUAGUUGCUGCGCCCCAAAUUUACUCACAGGAAGCGGGAUUCGUUGUGGAGUCGCCCUGUGCCGCGGACUAGUGCCCUGGCGUCGCCCUAGCCCUGGUAUGCCCAACUCAUGCCUUAUCCCUCGAAUUCAUACCGAGUAGCACCGAUCCAUGUAGGAAGAGCGUCUCUGAUAGGUCGAGAAUUGCUCGUCGGCGUUGCGCGUGGUAGUGGACCUGCGCCUUCCCGUGGGUACGGCGUGGUGUCGUGUUCUUCCCGAUUAGCAGACUACGACCCGACUCAUGGUGUACCAGCAGGAGUGUAGCGCCCUUGUGGUGUGUGCUUAGGCGUCGGGGGUGCGAGAAUGGUGGUGCAUGAAUGGCGCCGCCGUGCGGAUGAACAGGGGUGCCGCUGCGCCGGUGUUUGGAUUGGGGAAGAAAGGCUCCGAUCCGUUGGAUCGAUCACCAGCGGGCAGGAUUAGAGCAACGAAUAGCGUUUCAGUCCAUUUAAUCUGGGGCGUUCCGAGCUGAUUGGAUGGAUAGGAUUAAGUCAAACGCGCGAACGUCUCUUGUGUCGUGUAUCUCUGAUCCAAGGGCUCAUACUGCAUACCGGUUCAGUAAGGGGCUAGAUCUAAUCCCGUGCGUCCAUCUAAGAUCGGAUGGCCUAGAUUGGUCAAUACCCCUUCGUGAUUGUAACUUUACGAAUGAAACCCCGCAAAAGAGAGAAUUCAACCCACAGUCCACUCCGGGAGUACAAUCAGUCUAGGAUAUUUUUCACGUUAGCCCCUGCGUGUCUGUUUAAUUGAAGCGCAGUCCAGUGAAUAAGAAAAACAGAGAAAUUGAAUUAGAAAAUGAAUUUUUAAUAUAAAAACGAUUCCUAGAACUUGUUUAAUUCAUAUUGAGUCCAAAUUAAUCCAUUCCAGUUUCUAUAAUUUUGUAAUAUUAUUGUUUAUCAUCUAGUGUAUCUGUUUUGAUAUGAAAGCCACAUUAAAGUUUAUAUCCUAAUUAAUCUUGUAUCAAGCACAUAAAAACUUUGGAAAUUCAUAACAUAAAAUCUAUAACUCUAAAAUUAAUGAUUCUUUUUUCUAUGAUCUUAUUUUAAUAUGUAGAUUAUUAAUAUGUAUGCUGUAUACAUGCUUGGUGUGAUGUUAAUUUUGUCUAUACCAUGUUUGUUUGUAUUGCUACGACUAGCAGUGAGGUCACGAGAAUUUGAGGAUCAUCCUGAUACAUGGAAUCUCAAGUCCCAGACAAGUUGUGCCCUUGAUUACUUUUAUUACCCAAUAGUGUUAUUUAAUAUCACUUAUUCAUGUAUAGGUUUAAUUUUGAUGGGACCCAAUAGGCCACCCUAGUCUGAUUAUCUUUUACCUUGUUUACCCCUGAAUCAUUUGGGUAGUUUUGCUAUUGCUUUAUAUGGUUUUGGGUUAAUAUUUCAUUAUAUCCAUGUUCCAAUUAUUCUAUUAUUUUAUUUAUAUUCAUGUCAAGAUCAUUAUAUUAUGUUAAUUGGAACAUGGAGCUUAACUUGAAAAACAUGUGUCACCAUAAGGGUAGAAUGGGAUGCCCUUGGCUGACUAAUUAGGAAAGCUAGUGGGACUACCUUACCCGAAAGGGGCAAGGGCAGUAGGGGAGUUGCAUGUAGGGAGGUUCUCGGGUUGAUUUUGCUGCGAUGGCAGUCAGACGAGGGAUUCUUGCAAGUGCUCUUCCCAUAGACUGUAGCGGGUUUUCGGAAGCUAGUGGAACUUUGUAAAAGCCUCGUAGUGUUAUCCUGUCUCGCUUCCUUAGUAGAGGUGUAUGGGAUUCAUGACCCCUUGGCAAAUGGAUAACACGACUUGUGCGUACAGGGUACAACCUCUACAGAGUGUAAAACUGGUAUACUAGUCGAGCUCACGGUCAAGAGCAGCUCAAGAUUCUCGCAUGAUUAAAUUAUGAAACUAAAUUCAAUUUAUCAUUUGCAUCGCAUGUGAUUUGUUAUUAAUUUUGUUCUAUUAUUAUUAUUAUUAUGGUUUGGUAUUUACUUACAUCUAGUAAUUGCUAAUAAAAUAUUGACCAACUUUAAAAGCAAUGCUCAGCUUUAACCAUUCUGUUUGGUAAGCCUUACACUUCACAUGAGCUCCCACCUUUGGUGAGUUCAUGCACAUUAUUCCCCACAACUUGUUGAGCGAUGAAUAUGUGUGAGCUCACCCUUGUCUCACACCCCCCAUAGGAGAAGUACAGGUCAUUCAAGAGAAGCCACACAACGAGGAGUUUGACUUGAUCUACGUGGCGUCUCCUAGUUGACUUUAUGGCGCCAAGGAUGGACUUUAGUUCGUUUUAUAUUUAUCUUUUAUUUUGUAAGAGUUCCACUAUAUAAUAAGUACUCUGAUUAUAUUGUGACAUUAUUCUCUAUACACGCUGUUAUUAUAUGUGUUGUCUUAUUUGACGCAUAUAUGAGAUGCACCCGACUUUGUCCCUUAAAUCCGGGUGUGACAAUAAAUGUAUUUUCACCCAGGCUGCGUCCCGUACCUAUAAAUAGGUGAACAGUACCACCGUACUUGUAACACCCCAGAUGUUUAUAUUCCGCUCGACAACGAGUACAGAUUUAAGCACGUAAUAUCAGUGGAUAAAUCGGAUGCGAAAUUUUAAUCAUCUUCGCCUAUUGCGAUUUUAAUAUCGCAUCUAUUUCGUCUGUCUCGAGUUCGACAUCAUUUUUAUCUAUCCGGGCUCUUCCGAAAUUUUCGUGAUGUUCGGAACCUAGUUGUUCCGGAAAUCGGUGCGUCCGGUGAGUAUUUAAAAUUCAUCGCUCGUAUGGAUACGAGUUCAGAAGCCCGACUCACUCAGAUGAUUUUAUCCCGGAUAAAUUAAUUUGUACUCGACAACUAAAUGGUGGGGGCAAAAUAAUUUGUAUCGCGCGUUGUCCGAGAAAAAUCAUGCGCGAAGUUAUUAUCCAAUUUAUUCUUCAGCACGCUGUUUUGACGACGAAAUCACGUAUACAUUAGCGGAUCUGGUUUCGACUAAUUUCGGUCGAACCACGAAGAACAAGUUAUCAGUACCGAAAUCAGUUUAUUUCGGUCUGUCCAAAACUUUUGAUAUAAAUGACGGGUACAAAUUAAUCUGAUUCCACAUAUUCGCUAAAUCAAAAUCGUGACAGCGCGUUCGAAAAUUAUAAUUGAGAUCCGAUUGUCACACAUAUUGCCCGUAACAAUGGAAUCAAAUGUUCAGACCGCAGGUAAAUUUCUUAGAUUUCGAAUCGAAUCAAAUCAUGUCACCAAUACGGUCGACCCAUUUUAUAUCACUAAAAAUCUUGAUUCCAAAAUAUGAGUGAUUCUCUUUAUAAAAAAAAGAAAGGAAAGA
rnacentral:lncRNA from 1 species